rnacentral:rRNA from 1 species
UACGUAGGGUGCAAGCGUUGUCCGGAAUUAUUGGGCGUAAAGGGCUCGUAGGCGGUCCAUCACGUCGGGAGUGAAAAGCUGGGGCUUAACCCCAGUCCUGCUUCCGAUACGGGUGGACUAGAGGUAGGCAGGGGAGAACGGAAUUCCUGGUGUAGCGGUGGAAUGCGCAGAUAUCAGGAGGAACACCGAUGGCGAAGGCAGGUCUCUGGGCCACUACUGACGCUGAGGCACGAAGGCUAGGGGAGCAAACAGG